rnacentral:rRNA from 1 species
AUUGAACGCUGGCGGCAUGCUUUACACAUGCAAGUCGAACGGCAGCGCGGGCUUCGGCCUGGCGGCGAGUGGCGAACGGGUGAGUAAUACAUCGGAACGUGCCCAGUAGUGGGGGAUAGCUCGGCGAAAGCCGGAUUAAUACCGCAUACGACCUGAGGGUGAAAGCGGGGGAUCUUCGGACCUCGCGCUAUUGGAGCGGCCGAUGGCAGAUUAGCUAGUUGGUGGGGUAAAGGCCUACCAAGGCGACGAUCUGUAGCUGGUCUGAGAGGACGACCAGCCACACGUGGACUGAGACACGGCCCAGACUCCUACGGGAGGCAGCAGUGGGGAAUUUUGGACAAUGGGCGAAAGCCUGAUCCAGCAAUGCCGCGUGUGUGAUGAAGGCCUUCGGGUUGUAAAGCACUUUUGGCGGGAACGAAAAGGACUGUGCCAAUACCACGGUUCGAUGACGGUACCCGCAGAAUAAGCACCGGCUAACUACGUG